GAGUUUGAUCCUGGCUCGGAACGAACGCUGGCGGCAUGCCUAACACAUGCAAGUCGAACGAAGGCUUCGGCCUUAGUGGCGCACGGGUGCGUAACGCGUGGGAAUCUGCCCUUUGCUUCGGAAUAACAGUGGGAAACUACUGCUAAUACCGGAUGAUGUCUUCGGACCAAAGAUUUAUCGGCAAGGGAUGAGCCCGCGUAGGAUUAGGUAGUUGGUGGGGUAAAGGCCUACCAAGCCGACGAUCCUUAGCUGGUCUGAGAGGAUGAUCAGCCACACUGGGACUGAGACACGGCCCAGACUCCUACGGGAGGCAGCAGUGGGGAAUAUUGGACAAUGGGGGAACCUGAUCCAGCAAUGCCGCGUGAGUGAUGAAGGCCUUAGGGUUGUAAAGCUCUUUUACCAGGGAUGAUAAUGACAGUACCUGGAGAAUAAGCUCCGGCUAACUCCGUGCCAGCCGCCGCCGU
rnacentral:rRNA from 1 species